rnacentral:rRNA from 3 species
AAAUUGAAGAGUUUGAUCAUGGCUCAGAUUGAACGCUGGCGGCAGGCCUAACACAUGCAAGUCGAACGGUAACAGGAAACAGCUUGCUGUUUCGCUGACGAGUGGCGGACGGGUGAGUAAUGUCUGGGAAACUGCCUGAUGGAGGGGGAUAACUACUGGAAACGGUAGCUAAUACCGCAUAACGUCGCAAGACCAAAGAGGGGGACCUUCGGGCCUCUUGCCAUCGGAUGUGCCCAGAUGGGAUUAG